CAGCGAUCUGCUCCAAACGUUCCUGCGAAAACAACACGUCCUAUUUGUUAUAUGAUGUUAAGAUGUAUACGUAUAUAUAUAGCCCGAGAGCCGUCAACUGCGUCAACAAAGGUUUAUUUACCUGUCGUCGGAUUUUGAAUAGUUCGACGUUAUCGUCCAGACGGGGCCUCUUCGACCCGUAACCGCAGUCGCCGUUCGAAGUCAACCCUCCGAAACCCUGCAGCAUGCUUGACCUGUUUUGAUUUAAAGAUUUUUAAUUUACACACAACACUUAAUGUUCAUUAUUUAGGUAAGAGUAGUUUACUUGGAAUGUCCUUUAGAAUAAUGGUAUCCCGAGUCACGAACCACUUGUCGGGCUAAAGGGAA